rnacentral:rRNA from 1 species
UACGAAGGGGGCUAGCGUUGCUCGGAAUCACUGGGCGUAAAGCGCACGUAGGCGGAUUGCUAAGUCAGGGGUGAAAUCCUGGAGCUCAACUCCAGAACUGCCUUUGAUACUGGCGACCUUGAGUCCGGGAGAGGUGAGUGGAACUGCGAGUGUAGAGGUGAAAAUUCGUAGAUAUUCGCAAGAACACCAGUGGCGAAGGCGGCUCACUGGCCCGGUACUGACGCUGAGGCACGAAAGCGUGGGGAGCAAACAGGG